rnacentral:rRNA from 1 species
CCUGCCAGUAGUCAUAUGCUUGUCUCAAAGAUUAAGCCAUGCAUGUCUCAGUACAAACUAAAUUAAAGUGAAACCGCGAAAGGCUCAUUAAAUCAGUUAUGGUUCCUUAGAUCGUACCCACAUUUACUUGGAUAACUGUGGUAAUUCUAGAGCUAAUACAUGCAAACAGAGCUCCAACCGGAGACGGAAGGAGUGCUUUUAUUAGAUCAAAACCAAUCGGCGGCAGUAGCGUUUCGGCGUUACUGUUCGUCGCCCUGUUUGGUGAAUCUGAAUAACUUUUUGCUGAUCGCACGGUCUCGCACCGGCGACGCAUCUUUCAAAUGUCUGCCUUAUCAACUGUCGAUGGUAGGUUCUGCGCCUACCAUGGUUGUAACGGGUAACGGGGAAUCAGGGUUCGAUUCCGGAGAGGGAGCCUGAGAAACGGCUACCACAUCCAAGGAAGGCAGCAGGCGCGCAAAUUACCCACUCCCGGCACGGGGAGGUAGUGACGAAAAAUAACGAUACGGGACUCAUCCGAGGCCCCGUAAUCGGAAUGAGUACACUUUAAAUCCUUUAACAAUUAGCAAUUGGAGGGCAAGUCUGGUGCCAGCAGCCGCGGUAAUUCCAGCUCCAAUAGCGUAUAU